rnacentral:rRNA from 1 species
UUAAACUGAAGAGUUUGAUCCUGGCUCAGAUUGAACGCUGGCGGCAUGCCUAACACAUGCAAGUCGAACGGUAACGCGGAGA